rnacentral:lncRNA from 1 species
UGAGCGUAAAAAAUAAAAAUACAAAUCAAGCAGUGAAAUCAUACGAUGUUCUCUGACAUCGCUUCACAAGUGUGACACUCCUUUGUUUCCUUUAACACGCGGCGUUCAACUUGCAAUAGAAGCGUUCCCACUGAUUGACACCACAGUCGCGCGUCUGCCUUCGUAGCUGAAGAAAGACUCGGCUGUGUGCAGAGUGGCUUUCACUACCGAGUUCACGCUUUAUAAAAAAUCCUUCUGGAAGAGCGGAAAGCAGUCAGCGGCCCACACUGCGGCCCCCGCUGGCACUUCCCCCGGGUCGCCGGCCGCGCCGCUACCAGCUCAGCUGCGCACGGCGCGGGCGGUGCCUGAGAGCGCCGCGGCUCUGCGGCUGUGUUACAGCGCCCCCUGCAGGAGGAGCGCCCGCACCGCCGGCUGCUCCGGCAGCGUCGGCUGAGGAAAUGGUUCUCAAGUGCUCGCUGAGUGACGAUGUGUAUGGCGACAUAUAUUCAGCUGCAGUGUAAGCAUAGCAAGAUAUUUCAGUGGUCGGCAAAUUCAGUCCCACAUGAUGCAUGGUGAUUGCUGAAACCUGCUACCUGCUGGCAGCAGUGAAAAAGAAUGAGGAGAUGUGUGAUGAUAAUGCCUUAAGAUGUCAUGGACUCAAUAUAUUCCACUGGCUGUCCAGGGACUUGAGUAUCUUAGUUCAUUCUGCUUUAAGUGGCAACAAAUUGUCUCCUGCCUGCUCUCAGAAGGAAAGAUUUUGCUGGAUGGAAAACUUGCCCCAGCAUGUGGUGAACACAAAGGGCACUGCUGCUGUGCCCUGGCUCCAUGGAGAGGACUUGCCUGGCUUACUCAUAUUUGACAAGCUUCUAGUUCAGUAUGAACUGCUGCCAUGACUUCAGUGCCUCUGAUGAGGAUUGCUGCAGGAACUGCUUGAGCUCCCAACAGAUUUACUGGGAAAAGAGAAACUCUUCUGGAAAAUGAUUCAGAGCAGAAAUCUAUCUUAACUGUACUCCAUGUCCCCCUGAAGAGAAGAAUUCUUUUCAUUGAAGAGGAGUUAAAGAUUGACUUUGUAAAUGCUCCUGCUUUGCCCCAUCUGUUGCAGCUUCAGAGUGCUGGAGGUGGUCCAGGCCCACAAGCAUGCAGGAGCAUUCCACACACCCCCCAAAGAUAAAAGGCUCCUCUAAGGAUCACCCACUUUCAAUAAGAAGAGCAAAGAACUGAGCAACCCUUCCUCCUAUAAAAACAGGCAGACAGAGGAGCAGAUCUGGUGGCCAGCUCUGACCCUUUCUGACCAGUCUGGUGGGCUCAGCUUGCCAACAAUUUGUGAUCAUUCUUAUAUUCUUUCCUGCAUUUUCCACGACUCCUGAAAUUUCACAGCCUGGGACCUAACGAUGUUUUUCAAGGUCACUUCCAAGAAAAUAUUAAACCCUCUGAGAGUAAACUUUGCUGUAAUAAAUUGUUUUUGUCAUGCUAUGCUUCA